CAUAUGUUACAGACCUUAGUUGCGAUGAAGGAUCGCCAACAGCUUGAAAAAUACAGAAGUCAGCUGAAAGGAACCGCGCCCGAGCAGGCCAUAAUCUCAGAAUACCUAAAGAACUCGCAACUGCGAUGGAAAAACUGAAGUCCAAGAAAUUGAAGCCGGAAAAUCAAUCGUUACAUUUUUUAGCCUAGGCGUCCACGUAAUAAAACUGAGAGAAAUGUAUACGGUGCGAUUGCAGCGGCGAAGUGAAAAAGCGAGAAAGAUUUGGGUCGGGUCGGGUCGUGUCGUGUCGUGUAACCCAAAUCUCCCGCGCUUUUCACUCCGUCGCUACUAUGGCGCCGUUAAAUAUUUCGCUCCGUUUAACCAAACAAACGCCUGGAACAAGGAAUAUAUAUAGCUAGAAAGAUUUCAAAUAAUACAGUCACAUUUAAAAAAAUGGAGUCGUUCAACGAUAGCAACAUGUCGUAUGUUACCAAUUUAAAAUAAAAAACCAAUUGGUAGUUCUUAUGUUGUAAA